rnacentral:rRNA from 1 species
GACAGAGGUGCCGAGCGUUAGGCGGAAUCACUGGGCUUAAAGCGUGUGUAGGCGGAUCUGUAAGUACCUUGUGAAAUCCCACGGCUCAACCGUGGAACUGCUUGGUAUACUGCGGAUCUUGAGCCACCUAGGGGCGAGCGGAACAAGUGGUGGAGCGGUGAAAUGCGUAGAUAUCACUUGGAACGCCAAUGGUGAAAACAGCUCGCUGGGGGUGUGCUGACGGCUGAGACACGAAAGCCAGGGGGAGCAAACGGG